rnacentral:rRNA from 5 species
CGACCGCGACCCCAGGUCA